AGUGGGAUAGCUGGGUCAAAUGGUGGUUCCAUUCCAAGUUUUCUGAGGAAUCUCCAUACUGCUUUCCAGAGCAAAUGCACCAAUUUAAAGUUCCACCAGCAAU
rnacentral:pre_miRNA from 1 species